UGCCAGCAGCCGCGGUAAUACGGAGGGUGCAAGCGUUAAUCGGAAUUACUGGGCGUAAAGCGUGCGUAGGUGGUUCGUUAAGUCAGAUGUGAAAGCCCCGGGCUCAACCUGGGAACUGCAUUUGAAACUGGCGAACUAGAGUAUAGGAGAGGGAAGUGGAAUUUCUGGUGUAGCGGUGAAAUGCGUAGAUAUCAGAAGGAACAUCAAUGGCGAAGGCAGCUUUCUGGACUAAUACUGACACUGAGGUACGAAAGCGUGGGUAGCAAACAGGAUUAGAUA
rnacentral:rRNA from 1 species